rfam:Aedes albopictus isolate Foshan contig60875, whole genome shotgun sequence.
GCGUCGAUGGUGUAGUGGUAAGCGUGGUUGCCUCUCACCCAGUCGGUCGGGGUUCAAUUCCCGUCGAAGCC